rnacentral:lncRNA from 15 species
AUGCUCCAAUUAACUCAAAACGCUGCAGCACAGGUAUGGACAGGAACUAGAAAAAGAGAUCACAUCUCUCCUGUACUAGCUUCUCUGCACUGGCUCCGUGUAAAAUUUCGAAUAGAAUUUCAAAUCCUCCUACUCAUCUAUAAAGCUCUUCAUGGUCAGGCCCCUUCAUAUCGUAAAGAGCUCAUAGUACCCUAUGACCCCACUAGAACACUACGUUCUCUGAAUGCUGGGCUACUUGUGGUUCCUAUAGUCUCUAAAAGUAGAACAGGAGCCAGAGCCUUCAGUUACCAAGCUCCUCUCCUGUGGAACCAGCUUCCAUUUGUGGUUCGGGAGGCAGACACCCUCUCCACAUUCAAGAUUAUGGAGAGCCGACUGAACUCACUGCAGGAACAACUGAACACGUCUGAGAGAAACCAGCUCAGUCCCAUACAGGAUCAGCUGUCAUUGAUCAGCAGCAGACUGAACUCCAGUCAACCUUACCUGGAUAAGCUGAACAGAAACUCUGCAGAUCAAACGGGUCGACUGACAUCUGUAGAGACACGAUUGGAUGAGCUGAAGACAGAAAACACAGUUCAGUCUGUUCAACUUUCCUUGAUGGAGUCCAGACUGACAGACAGCCACAACAGCACUACAGCUCUGGAGGGCAAACUGAGAUCCACUGAGACAAAGCUGGAGAAUCACGCUGCAGCUCUGGAGGUCAGACUGAGUGUCAGUGAGAAACAGCUGGAAGACCUGAAAACAGAAAACACAGGUAACACACUGAAGGUGUCAAACUCAUUGUAGAUUAAUCUAUGUAAAAAAA